UUAAGUUCAGCGGGUAGUCCUACCUGAUUUGAGAUCAAACGUUAAGAAGCUUGUCCUCCCUGAGGAGAGACGUCUGUGAGCUCCAGUGAACCUCCAUUACUGAAGGUAACCUGAUGGAAGGACCACAAGCGUAGAUAGUUAUCACACCUGUGACGCCACCAAACACUGGGAAGCUGAUCCAUUUGAGAGGAGCUGGCAGU
rnacentral:misc_RNA from 1 species